GCAUACCUACCAUAAAACUUUGCUGGAGCAGGUUCAGGAGCUGGAAACUAAAUCCAAAGAACUGGGAAAAGCUAUGCUUCGUGAUAGUAAUGGAAAGAGCCUGAACGAACGUGAUCAUUUGUUAAAAAGGCUCGGCAGAAAAACUCCUCCGAGCCUUUUCCGAGCUCAUUCUGUCCAGCAAGGUGUACCACAUGGGUAUGCAUUUUCUCAAGAAGAACAUGGAGUUGUUUCUCAGUCUCAAGUUGUUCGAUCCUACGACACUACCAAACAGAGAGCUGGAGUAGAAUAACACAGUUCUUUCCUGGAUUGGUGGUGGGAGUAAUGAGAUUUGGAUCAAUGCAGCCACUGUUAACACAUCCUUGACUAAGGUUGGCAGCAGCAGCCAAAACACCGGAACACUCAUUUCUGUGGCCUUAGCCAACACAUUUGUUAUGUAUUCCCCCUGCAGACCUUGAGCACACAUUGUGGGGAAAUCAUUGUUUUAAAUCUAGCGCAGUGCUCCGCCUAACUUUUGUUUAUGUUGUUAUGAAGCAUUUGACUGUGCUAUGUGAGGUGUGAAAUUAAAAACAUUAUGUUUUACCACUAUUUAAAACAGCAGUAUAAAUUGUUCUGGGAGAAAAGUAAAGAAUUUAUG